rnacentral:sRNA from 1 species
CCCUAGCCCUGAUAGAAGCGGUAUCCUUUUGUUUUUUUCUUUAAAAAACAAAAGAUACAAGUGGAUAGCAGGAAAUAGC